rnacentral:tRNA from 1 species
CGAUGCGCUCGUCGGCGGCGGCGACGGCGCACUGCAGGAGCGCGGCGAGGGAUUCGGCGAGCGAGUCCAGCAGUUCGUCGGCGCUCGUGUCGA